rnacentral:rRNA from 1 species
GAUGAACGCUAGCGGCAGGCUUAAUACAUGCAAGUCGUGGGGCAGCAGGUUUGUAGCGAUACAGAUGCUGGCGACCGGCAAACGGGUGCGGAACACGUACAGAACCUUCCUUGAGCGGGGAAUAGCCCAGAGAAAUUUGGAUUAAUACCCCAUAGUAUAAUGAAGUGGCAUCACUUUAUUAUUAAAGAUUUAUCACUCGAAGAUGGCUGUGCGGCUGAUUAGGUAGUUGGCGGGUAAAGGCCCACCAAGCCUGCGAUCAGUAACUGGUGUGAGAGCACGACCAGUCACACGGGCACUGAGACACGGGCCCGACUCCUACGGGAGGCAGCAGUAAGGAAUAUUGGUCAAUGGAGGCAACUCUGAACCAGCCAUGCCGCGUGGAGGAUGAAGGUCCUCUGGAUUGUAAACUUCUUUAUAUGGGACGAAAAAAGGCUUUUCUAAGUCGUCUGACGGUACCAUAUGAAUAAGCACCGGCUAACUCCGUGCCAG